UCAUUGAAUGGCUGAUAAAAGCACUGGUCUCUUAAACCAUAUUAUAGUUAAUACUUUCAAUGAA
rnacentral:tRNA from 1 species